rnacentral:rRNA from 1 species
UGGGGAAUAUUGCACAAUGGGCGCAAGCCUGAUGCAGCCAUGCCGCGUGUGUGAAGAAGGCCUUCGGGUUGUAAAGCACUUUCAGCGAGGAGGAAGGUGGUGAGCUUAAUACGCUCAUCAAUUGACGUUACUCGCAGAAGAAGCACCGGCUAACUCCGUGCCAGCAGCCGCGGUAAUACGGAGGGUGCAAGCGUUAAUCGAAAUUACUGGGCGUAAAGCGCACGCAGGCGGUUUGUUAAGUCAGAUGUGAAAUCCCCGGGCUCAACCUGGGAACUGCAUUUGAAACUGGCAAGCUAGAGUCUCGUAGAGGGGGGUAGAAUUCCAGGUGUAGCGGUGAAAUGCGUAGAGAUCUGGAGGAAUACCGGUGGCGAAGGCGGCCCCCUGGACGAAGACUGACGCUCAGGUGCGAAAGCGUGGGGAGCAAAACAGGAUUAGAUACCCCUGGUAGUCCACGCUGUAAAACGAUGUCGAUUUUGGAGGUUGUGCCCCUUGAGGCGUGGCUUCCGGAGCUAACGCGUUAAAUCGACCGCCUGGGGAGUACGGCCGCAAGGUU